UUGGAUCAUGGACCAGAAAGAGAACACUGAUGGGAAGACUGAUGAAAUCUGAGCCUGGACAGAAGUGAACACCAAAUAUAGGAAAAGAGAGUAAACUCCAGGUGUGUGCACGGACUUCUGAUGGUUUCUCCUUAUCCCCUUCACCCUUCCCUCAACUCUCUGACUGGGCCACAGGAAGCAUAGAUGGAGAAAGAACAACCAGGUUGGGAUCUGAGGGUGAAAGCUACAUGCUAAAGAUGAUGACUCCGGAAGAGGGACUGACCCUGGAUUUUUACAACAUCAUGGAAUUGCCACACCAGACAAAGACUUCUCCCCUAUAGGUUUCUAAUUACAUGAAAAUUUAAAACCAUAUUUUGUUGAAUGAGCCACUUCAGUCAUAUUUCUGUUUAUCUGGAAGCAGAAAUAAUGGUAUCUAGAAUAAUCAGAUAUUAUCUUAAAAUAAUACCAUCUAAUACAACAUUCAAGAUCCAACUAAUAGAAAAGAAUAAAGAAGGAAGAAAAGGGGGAAGAGAGGGAGAAAGGAAAUAGAUGAGGGAGUCUCAAAGAACAAUAAAAACAAUUUCCAAAAGAUAAAGGGAUGCAAGUGUCUUAUAUUUGGAAAACUGUCCCAAGGGCUGGCGCAGUUAAUCACAUCUCCAUAUUUUGUACAACAAGAAAACAAGACAUCAUCUUAAAAGGUCCCAGGGGGGAAAAGAAAAGCAAGUAAUACAGACA
rnacentral:lncRNA from 1 species